GCCGGAGUGCUGAAAUUGGAAAACAGGGUAGAUUCAAAAUCUACUGUCCGCAAGGGCUUGUGGGUUCGAGUCCCUCCUCCGGCA
rnacentral:tRNA from 1 species